CUCUGAGCGGCCGGGAGGGGCGGGGGGGAAUGACGGGACGCAAGUUUAUUAUCGGAGUGGUCGGGUAUCGGGACGGGCUGCCCGGGGGUGGGGGGGUCGCCGUCCCCGAAGGAGCUCGGAACUCAGGAAACGUGGCACGGAGGGACGCGGGCAGCGGGAACGGGGGGCGACGUUGGGUUGGGGAUCCCAGGGGCGCUCCAGUUAAGGGUUCUGUGACGGUCCCUGGGUUUGGGAUUUGCCUGCGAGCUCAGCUGCAGCUGUGAGGGACCUGUUUUAGGCCCCUGGGAUUGGCCAGAUCCUUGCCCUGAGUUUAUGAGAGUGCUUCAUCCUUCACCCGGUAUUUCUUUUUGCAGGAAGCGCGUGGGAACAUCAAAACCACAUGACAGUAUCGCCGGCACCAGUUAGCGCAGCUCUCCCAGAGAGCAUUGUGAUACUUCGGGUCCAGAUGGCCUCCUGACGUUCAGAGGUGUGACAAGGUGGAAGGUUAGAGAGAGGGACAGAGAGGAAUGAAUGAGGAAGGAGUUGUGCUUGCCACUGAGAUAAGUGAUGAGAUAGGAGCUCCAGAGUCUCCUAUGCUUACAGAGCAUAGCAUGUACUUGUGCGUGUGCACUUCCCACUUACAGUCAUACAGAAUAUUGCAUAAUAUUGGCAUCUGAACGUAUAGAAUUAUAAAUAGAAUAUAGAAUUGUUUUCAAAGAUAAAAAUGUAGUUUUCCCUCAGUUACAACUAUAGGAUCUUUUGUCUUUCAUUGUAUGUUAAGUGUGAAAUAUCAGAGCAGCCAAGCAUUCCGUGACAAUCUUGUUCUGCAAAGUACUCAAAUUGGACCGGGAUGUGAAGCUUUAAGAACAUGGGAAAAGUUUCACUUAAUGCAGAACAGUAACGUUAUGACGGAUUUUACAUUUCAAAACUUCUCAGUACUCAUUUCUGUGUUUACUUCUUGAAGAAGCUACUGUUAACACAUCGGAACUCAAGGAUAUUAAAUAUGUAUAUAUACAUAUAUAUAUUUUUACUGCAUGAAAAGAAAUUGGAGAUAAAUAAAGCGUAUCAUUUUACAUAAAAUCCCAUCUCGCCCCCAAAGUGCAUCUAUGGAAAAGCACAAUCCUAUCCAUAAAGAACAACAAAAAAUCUAUAAAAUAGACAUCUCAGCAAAUGAGUUGACUGUUGAGGAAAGAGUUUCACAGUAAGUAAAAUUAUUUCAGUUACUGCAAUGAGCAGUUUGACUGCCUAAUUUCCCUCUCUAUAUGAGAACAUAGUUUGGAUUUUAUCAGAAGGUUUUAGUGCAUAUUUUCUCCUCAGCAUUUUGGUAUUCUUUCAUUAUGACACUUGUGCAAGUUCUUUUAUUUUGACCUCAGCUUUUAAGCCCUUUAUACUUAGAUUUGCACUGAAAUUGGCUUAUUAUAAUCACGUCUUGCGAAGAUUUGCAUAUGUGCUUAAUGUCAACUGUGUGAAUAGUCCUAUUAAGUUCCGUAGAGUGACUCUUGCACAACAUGAAAUAUGCACAGACAUCUUGGAAGAUUGAGGGCCAUAUGUUUGAGCGUUAAAACAAGUUAUCCAUCAUUUAAUUUUAAAAUAGAGCUGUGGAACUAAUGUGUUAUUUGAAAAAACAUUCUGGACUUAUCUGAAAUCCCAGAGGCACAACUUAAUUCAAUUUCUUGGCUCUCACAGUUUUUAAAUGGUACAAGUUCAAAACCAGGGAUGUCACUUCAAUUGAAAAUGGCAGCCAAGACAGUUCAAACAGGGCUAGGCACAUUCAGUCAUAAUUUUCUUCAUCUUUAUUCAAGUAUUUAAACAUAUUUAAAGAGGGAGAAAAUCAUCAUUUGUAAUUGAGAACUGAAAAAUGACUUUUUUUUUUAUUUGUUGAUUCAUUAAGCCUCAAAACGAGUACUUCUGUCAUCUGUGUUUUGGUUGUUUGUUCUGUGGCUGUUUUCUUCAGAACUAUUGGAAUUGUUUUCGUUGCUAAAAAGGACCCGUGCACGCUAAAGGUUAAAAGCCACAUACCUCAAAGUGGUUAGCCUUGGCUGCAGUACAGUUCAGCUGGAUUCGCGAGUGCACUUCCUGAGAUCCUAGUUUUAUGGGGAGUAUUUAUAGCCCUGUUCAGUCCCACUGACUUCAGAGAGAUGACACAAGCACCUAGCACUGUUUUCUUAGUAGUAGUUAAUGGUAUUCCUUUUUUUUAUCUUAAUGGGCAAAUCAGUUUUAAAACCCUUUUUGGGUUUUUCUGAAGAAAGAACUGAAAUUAUGGUUGAUAGUAGGAUAAUUCUAAUUUUUCUAGCCAAACUUGGCUAAAAGGAGUUAGCUCUCAUUCAACUGAAAGUUACUAAAGAUAAAUGCUUACUUUUAACAUUAUUUAAUAGAGCGCAACCCAGCAAAAGAGAAAGAAGUUAUCAAUCAGCCAAGUGCUGUCUGAAUCAGUGGCGAAGCAGCAUUGGCUGAACAUCAUACGAAGGGUUGUAUAAGCCCAUGCAGUCAGAAAAUGGCUUGGCACGAGAGAAAUUAAACAUCCUAUAUUCCACAAUUGCUUGGAAACACCAAUGUUUUCACAGCAGAGUGAUGCUGAUGAACACAGCUGCAGUUAGUGAAGUAAAUGUUCAUCCUUUGUGGGGUGAAAAUGAAUUGGUGCUGGCAAUUUUCUGGUCUUUCUUUCGUGUUUUGUUUCUCUUAGUUGUGUUUAAAAACUAAAAACAAAAAACAGCCACGAUCGUGUUACAAGCCCACACUCCACAAUGACAUGGGAAACUGCAGAGGAUUAGGAACUUUCCCUUGCUACUUAGGCAGUUGAAAACUAUUUAGGAGUGCUUCCCCCACCAGUGGAAGAAAGUCCAGUGCCCACGGUCACAGCGUUGACAUCAUGUUCACACACAGAGGAGUCCCAUAGGCCAAGUGAUGGCAACAAAAGAGGCUGUGUGGAACAAAUCCCAUCUGUCAUCCAGCAUGAGACAUGAAUCCCGGUCACAGCUGAAGCAGUCACUACAGCGACAUUCCACUUCGCUUCUUUGAGUCCUUCCGUGCGAUUGGACUGAAGGAUAAGAUCUCCUUGUAGAUAUGUUCUUGAAAAACAGAAGAAGAACGAAUAAUGAAUACCUCUAGCGUGCAUCUCCUAUUGCAGAGGUCACAAACAAAACUUCGACCAUUAACCGUGUGCAGAGAGAAGUACAGCAGGUACAAGCUGGGAGGAAGAGAUGAAGUACAGAUGGGGGAAAAAGUGGAAUCUGAAAAGAUGGCAGCAGAAGGAAUCUCUGCUGAGUCCAUGACAGUAAGAGCAAGGAAAGGGAGAUGAAUGCCAUCAUCAAGGCGUUACUGAGUGGCUGCAGCUGAGCUGGCCUUACUCAGCGUGCUCACAGGAAACAGAAAGGGGCAGGAAAGUCUGUGUUAUGCAGUGUCAAAUAAAAUAAACUUCUUACUUUUC